rnacentral:rRNA from 1 species
GACCCGCACAAGCGGUGGAGUAUGUGGUUUAAUUCGAUGAUACGCGAGGAACCUUACCAGGGCUUAAAUGCAGAGCGAAUAGUUUGGAAACAGGCUAGCCUUCGGGCGAUCUGCAAGGUGCUGCAUGGCUGUCGUCAGCUCGUGCCGUGAGGUGUUGGUUAAGUCCCGCAACGAGCGCAACCCCUAUCUUUAGUUGCCAGCGAGUAAUGUCGGGGACUCUAAAGAAACUGCCUACGCAAGUAGAGAGGAAGGCGGGGACGACGUCAAGUCAUCACGGCCCUUACGUCCUGGGCCACACACGUGCUACAAUGGUUGGUACAGAGGGCAGCUACCGGGUGACCGGAUGCG